rnacentral:lncRNA from 1 species
GCACGGCCACUUUUGUACAAAAUAAGUCAAUCCUUGGCUGUGAAUGGGAGACGAAGAGAUGGGUUGGAGGAUGGCGAGGAGAAAAGCAAAUAAUGGACCAUAAAUGGUGCCAACACGAGUGAUUCUAAAACCUUUUCCAAAUCCUCAGAGCCAUUACAGCUUGGGCAGAACAGAAAAGGAAGGAACUCAACGAAGUACAGCAUCUUUUCAGGCAGAGAGUUCAAUGCGCGUCAAUCAGAUGACCACUGCUGCCUGG